UGUUCCAAUAAAUUAUCAUUGCUCAUCCCCAUCCUUAUGAGAACACCUCCGUCCUUCGUCUCAUAAAGUUGAAGUUUGCAACUUUAUGAGAAAGUUGACCAAGCUAACAUUACGGCAAGUCAUCUUCAACCUUCUUUUAAAGUUUACUUCUUGUAAAAACCUCUUGGAGAAGGCAACGUUAUGAGAAAUUCAACUUUAACCUUACGAGAAGGUUAACUUCUUUUUUUGCCAACCAAUCUCAUCUAAUACUACAACUUAUUUUUCUUGAUCAACUAUGUAAGGUCUCACCUUCGCUCUUUGGAACCAUAUGUUCCUUAUGCCAUUAUACAUUCAAUAUAUAGCUAGUACUAUGCCAAUUCUCGAGGGCCAUAGGCACUCCUCAGUCCAUCCCAACGCUAUUCCCCCGUCGUGCACUAUCUCAUGGAUCCCUUGUGCCACACCAACUUUGUGGUGAUGCUACUCCUCAACACGGCAAUAGUGAUUCGAGUUACUUUAAGGGAUCAAUGAUGCAUAGUCAGAGUUCUAUCUAUGAUCAUGAUAGCAAAAGCUCAAGGAGCAUUGAAACUAAACACCGAAAUGCCCAUCGUUCAGGGUUCAGGCCCUUUGGAUUACAGUUCUAGCCGGAAAGUGAAAUAUGUUGAAGGUUCAACUUCAGGCAGCUCAGGUCUUAGUCACUUCCAAGGUUUGCUGUCUCAAGGUCUAGACCGCUAGCAUACGAGUAAAUGUUUGGCCAAUCUUCUUCAAACUAAAACAUCUUUCUUUCUCUUUAAUGAAGAGUUUUGAUAAUGGUAAGCGGGAAAAGUUAUUAUUACAAUGAACUGUUCCAAAAUAAAGCAGCUGCAACAUUUCUGCUCCACAUUCAAAUUCAAUUCAAAGUAAGAAUGAUGUGAAGCCAUCCAUUUUUUAUAUUUGAAAGAGUAUUUGUGAAACCACUCGUUGUAAAAUGUUUAUAAUAUAAAGGGCAAUAGAUUGACCA